AUACGAAAGGUGCAAGCGUUGUUCGGAUUUACUGGGCGUAAAGAGAGUGUAGGUUGUUUAUUAAGUCGGAUGUGAAAUCCCGGGGCUCAACCUCGGAACUGCAUUCGAUACUGAUAGGCUAGAGUUUGGGAGGGGUAAGCGGAAUUCCGUGUGUAGCGGUGAAAUGCGUAGAUAUACGGAGGAACACCUGAGGCGAAGGCGGCUUACUGGACCAAUACUGACACUGAGACUCGAAAGCGUGGGUAGCAAACAGGAUUAGAUACCCGAGUAGUCC
rnacentral:rRNA from 1 species